rnacentral:lncRNA from 1 species
GUCUGAUUUUUCAGGUAAGAACAUAUGAGAGGCAGGCUGAGACCAAUUUUCUACCAGGCCAGCUAAUUCAUCACAAUGACAAGCUAUGGGUCAUAUGCUUUCAGGAACCAGACACUGGAACAUGUCGUCUGAUGUACAUCACACCAGUAAGUACUUUCUUAUGUUGAUAUUGAGUCAUUCUUUCAGUGAACAUUUUCUGCGUGCCUAUUGUGUGCCAGUCAUGGUACCACACGCUGGGAAUCCAAUGGGGAGUAAGAGAAAGUCCCUUUUCAAGGAGCUUACAGUGCAGUGGAAGAGAGAAAGUUAAAAGGUAAUUCUCAUUUGAUGUGAAAAUAUUUAAAUUCUUCUGUUCACUUAAUUGAAGCGUGGUUAGGCUUUAUACCUUCUCCCGGUCUAAACAGUUCUUUAUAAAGUCCUUUCACGUAGAAACAAAGAAGGCAUUAGUUUACUGCCUGUAAAGAGAGCAGAUCAAGGCUGAGGAACAGACAGAAGUCAGCAGACGUCCUGGAAAUGUCACCAAUCUUUUCUGAGAAAAACAAAGGAACCACUUCUUGGUUACCAGAGAAAUAAAAAAAGAAUUGGAAAGCCAAUGUCCAAUUAUUUACUAAAACAGAAUCCACUGGAGAGAAAUGCAAAGGCAGGUAAAAAGGCAAUCUCUUAACAUGAAAACUCACAACUGUAAAAUGAGAACCUAAACUAUACAGCGACAAACUCAGGAAAAAGUCUCCAGCUACUGCUGUCUCUCAGACUCUCACAGUAUGUGUAACCACUUCCUCCUCUGCACGGAAUCACCCCAGAAGAUCAACUCUACUAGAUCAUUUGAGGACAAUGAACAAAGUCUCAAGACUGAAUUCCCACAGAAAACAUUCUCAUGAAACCACCCAAUAUUCUGGUGAAGUUAAAGAAGGGCAUGUGUUCGGAGACAACCAGAAGCAGCAAUGCUCAAAACCACAAAACUCUGGAUUGCCGACUCUGCACAUCCUGGUUCCUCUAGAUACAGUUCAGUGGCACAUUCACAAAUAAACGUUUUCAAAAACUGCCCUCAGGCAGUUCUAGAGAAAUGCUUUGACUUGCCUAAUGGUAUAAUGUCAAGAAAGGAAGACGAGCACUGAUCAUUCAUACUCAUUAUUACAGUCACAGGGCACUGUCUGACUUGACAGAUACAGCCGAGCAGUUAAAAGGUUAUGGGAAUUUAAGUCCAUUAUGGUCAUACGAUUCUUAUGGACCCAGAGAUAUGAAAUUAAUCAGCCACAU